AACGAACGCUGGCGGCGUGCCUAACACAUGCAAGUCGUGCGAGAAAGUUCCUUCGGGAGCGAGUAAAGCGGCGCACGGGUGAGUAACACGUAGGUAACCUGCCCCCCAGUCUGGAACAACUAGAGGAAACUCUAGCUAAUGCCGGAUGAGACCACGAUCCCUUCGGGGGUUGCGGCCAAAGAUGGCCUCUACUUGUAAGCUAUCGCUGAGGGAUGGGCCUGCGGGCCAUUAGCUUGUUGGUGAGGUAACGGCUCACCAAGGCUGUGAUGGCUAGCUGGUCUGAGAGGAUGACCAGCCACACUGGGACUGAGACACGGCCCAGACUCCUACGGGAGGCAGCAGUGGGAAUAUUGCGCAAGUGGGCGAAAGCCUGACGCAGCGACGCCGCGUGGGUGAUGAAGGCCUCGGUCGUAA
rnacentral:rRNA from 1 species